GAUGAACGCUGGCGGCGUGCCUAAUACAUGCAAGUCGAGCGAACGGACGAGAAGCUUGCUUUUCUGAUGUUAGCGGCGGACGGGUGAGUAACACGUGGAUAACCUACCUAUAAGACUGGGAUAACUUCGGGAAACCGGAGCUAAUACCGGAUAAUAUUUUGAACCGCAUGGUUCAAAAGUGAAAGACGGUCUUGCUGUCACUUAUAGAUGGAUCCGCGCUGCAUUAGCUAGUUGGUAAGGUAACGGCUUACCAAGGCAACGAUGCAUAGCCGACCUGAGAGGGUGAUCGGCCACACUGGAACUGAGACACGGUCCAGACUCCUACGGGAGGCAGCAGUAGGGAAUCUUCCGCAAUGGGCGAAAGCCUGACGGAGCAACGCCGCGUGAGUGAUGAAGGUCUUCGGAUCGUAAAACUCUGUUAUUAGGGAAGAACAUAUGUGUAAGUAACUGUGCACAUCUUGACGGUACCUAAUCAGAAAGCCACGGCUAACUACGUGCCAGCAGCCGCGGUAAUACGUAGGUGGCAAGCGUUAUCCGGAAUUAUUGGGCGUAAAGCGCGCGUAGGCGGUUUUUUAAGUCUGAUGUGAAAGCCCACGGCUCAACCGUGGAGGGUCAUUGGAAACUGGAAAACUUGAGUGCAGAAGAGGAAAGUGGAAUUCCAUGUGUAGCGGUGAAAUGCGCAGAGAUGUGGAGGAACACCAGUGGCGAAGGCGACUUUCUGGUCUGUAACUGACGCUGAUGUGCGAAAGCGUGGGGAUCAAACAGGAUUAGAUACCCUGGUAGUCCACGCCGUAAACGAUGAGUGCUAAGUGUUAGGGGGUUUCCGCCCCUUAGUGCUGCAGCUAACGCAUUAAGCACUCCGCCUGGGGAGUACGACUGCAAGGUUGAAACUCAAAGGAAUUGACGGGGGCCCGCAUAAGCGGUGGAGCAUGUGGUUUAAUUCGAAGCAACGCGAAGAACCUUACCAAAUCUUGACAUCCCUUGACAACUCUAGAGAUAGAGCCUUCCCCUUCGGGGGACAAAGUGACAGGUGGUGCAUGGUUGUCGUCAGCUCGUGUCGUGAGAUGUUGGGUUAAGUCCCGCAACGAGCGCAACCCUUAAGCUUAGUUGCCAUCAUUAAGUUGGGCACUCUAAGUUGACUGCCGGUGACAAACCGGAGGAAGGUAGGGAUGACGUCAAAUCAUCAUGCCCCUUAUGAUUUGGGCUACACACGUGCUACAAUGGACAAUACAAAGGGCAGCGAAACCGCGAGGUCAAGCAAAUCCCAUAAAGUUGUUCUCAGUUCGGAUUGUAGUCUGCAACUCGACUACAUGAAGCUGGAAUCGCUAGUAAUCGUAGAUCAGCAUGCUACGGUGAAUACGUUCCCGGGUCU
rnacentral:rRNA from 1 species